UGUUGACUCUGAAGAGCCGCCGGGCCGUCGUCGCCCGCCGCACCGAAGGAGCAAGCGAACGCCGCAUAGGCUGCUCGUGAAACUCUCAGGUCCAGAACAGAGGGGGCGCU
rnacentral:ncRNA from 2 species